UAAUGAAUUAAAUUGGUAUAAUUCUGAUAAAUUAAUUUUAUUAUGUGGUUAAUAUUUUAAUAAAAAAAAUAUUUUUAAUAAGAUUUAUACUUUUCAAUGUAAAAAUUUAAUUUUUUAUGAAUGCUUAAAUUAUACUAAGAAAAGAAAAAAAUAAUAAUUAAAAAUAGUUAAAAAAAAUUAUUUGAACUUGGACUCAAUGGUCCAAAGGAAAAAAAAAAUGUGAGAAUUGGAUCUGAUUUUUUAAUCAGCUCAAAUGGCCCAAAAGAGAUCUGAUGUGGGCUGGAUCAAAAAAAAAAAGACCCAAUAUAGAUGUGUUAUUACUAUUAUUUGAUUGCCCUUAAUGAAACAUGUAAUGUUAGUAAAGAAAAGGGCAGACUAAAGUAAAAAAACAAUAGGAUCCUGCUUUAAUAGUAUAGAUUAGACGAAACUUUAAUUCUAAAAAUAAUCAAACAAGCGACAGAAAUAAGAUAGCUAGGAAGUACAAGCUGGCCAGUUGACUGGGGUUUUUAAAUGCCCAUCAAGCUUGAGCAGUAUAUCUCGAAUCGAAUCGAAGGAUUUAAACCUGACAUAGCUCAAAUAAUCUUUCCAUGUAAAUUCGAAAGGGUUUUGUGGCAUCCAC
rnacentral:lncRNA from 1 species